rnacentral:rRNA from 1 species
ACGAACGCUGGCGGCGUGCUUCACACAUGCAAGUCGAACGGAAAGGCCCUGCUUUUGUGGGGUGCUCGAGUGGCGAACGGGUGAGUAUCACGUGAGUAACCUGCCCUUGACUUUGGGAUAACUUCAGGAAACUGGGGCUAAUACCGGAUAGGAGCUCCUGCUGCAUGGUGGGGGUUGGAAAGUUUCGGCGGUUGGGGAUGGACUCGCGGCUUAUCAGCUUGUUGGUGGGGUAGUGGCUUACCAAGGCUUUGACGGGUAGCCGGCCUGAGAGGGUGACCGGCCACAUUGGGACUGAGAUACGGCCCAGACUCCUACGGGAGGCAGCAGUGGGGAAUAUUGCACAAUGGGCGGAAGCCUGAUGCAGCAACGCCGCGUGCGGGAUGACGGCCUUCGGGUUGUAAACCGCUUUCGCCUGUGACGAAGCGUGAGUGACGGUAAUGGGUAAAGAAGCACCGGCUAACUACGUG